CCCUUUGUGUUGUUUCGUUCUAGUUGAUCAGUAGUGGAGCCCAGUUGGGGUCGAUCAGGGACCUUUGUCGCAUUUGGGGUUCUUCUUUUAUUUUGGUUCCGUAGUCAGACCUUGAUUGUAUCUGGAUGAUGUAAUGCUUUAUUCAUGUAAUUGUGUGAAGUGGCGAUUGUAAGCCAACUAUGUAUCUCUUUCCCUUAUGUAUUACAUGGGUUGUGUGAAGAUUACCUCACUUGCGACAUUGCUUUCAAUGCGGUUAUGCCUCUAAGUCGUGCUUCGACACGUGGGAGAUAUAGCCGCAUCGAGGGCGUUACAAGUUGGUAAUCAGAGCCUUCCCCGACCUUAGGAGCCCCCACUGCUUGAUCGUUUUUAGCGGCCGAGUUGUGUCUAGAAAAAUGUUUUGAGUCCUUAGGAAUUAUAUAUCGGAGAGCUUAGGAAUUCUUUUUACUCCUCAGUCCCUUCGUCACUCUUGCGAGGCAUCCUGACGUAGAGUUUUGACUCUUCUCUUCUCGAAUUUCACUAAAUUUUUUUUUUUAGGAUCACGCGGGUAUCUUGGAAUCGUUCCGAUGGUUUUAUGAUGAGAGCAUUGUCUUGGUGCCUCCUGUCAGGGGUUUAGUGGAAGUGUCCCGGGGAGUUGAGCUCUGAGGUGUUGUCGUCAUAAUUUUAUCGUUGCAGUUCUGGAAUACCUGAGUUUAGUACGCCGACAUCGAAAAUCUCUUUUAUGCAGUUGUUGGUGAGAUAACCCCGAUAACCCAGUACUGAGGUGAGUACGGGAGUAUUGCCAUGACUUGUAUAACGGAUGCUUUUCGAAGGUUGAGGUAGACGAUUUCCGAAGGUUUCUUGGUUAUGUGUUGAAGGAUGGAUACAGCUGGAUGUAGGAUUUGUUAGUUUUGGGUGAGAUAUUAUGCUUCCCCUGUAUCCCCAACACCUGAUUGCAUAACCUGAAAAUUUCGGGAGUUUCAUAGGUGGGAAUUCAAGUAGCUCUUAGGAUAUCUUUCCAACAGAUGUAUGAUAUGAAAUUGGGGUUCGACGUCUAGUGGUCCGCCUAUUCACGGUCGAUUUUACAGUGGUCUCGUUGUGUCUUAAAGAGUCCUUGGCUAUGCCGACUCGGGGACGCUUCGUAUGUCAUGUGCACUGCCUUGUACAUGAUGGUGCUGUAUGAUCGAGCCCGUGUAGGCCCCACCACGAAAACUUCGGACGAAAUCUCUAUCAUAUGUUUGUUCUGGCUUAUUUUGCAAGCCAAUCCUUUGUUUUGUUUUGAGUUGUGGUAUUCGAGUUGCUUCGAAGUCAAAUGUUGAUUCCAUACCUUUUCCAAAUGGUGUUCUCAUAUUCCUAUGUGAAUACUAAUCCUUCUUGAUCAUCGAGUCUGUCUUGUCAAUCCUUUUUUUUUGUUUUUGUUAACCGGUGUGUCUCUCCUCAAGUGGAUCCGUUCACGUCAACAUUUGCAAGAUCAUUUAUCACUUCUUCUCAACGGUGUUUGUUUCAUCCGUCUCCAAGUUGCCUUUGUUUUCCCCACCCUCCCUCCCUUUUGUUUUUCUUCAAGGACUAAGAUUUCUUCUUCAAGUAUCCAUUUUAUUGAUGGGAAGUUUCUCCAUUCUUUUCCGUCAAUGUUCUUAUCCGGUGAUUCUCAUGAAGAUUCUAAUGGAGCUUCAAGUUCGUCAUUCCUCAUUCUUUUCUUCUCCGGUGGAUUUAAUUCAAGCUUUGGUAUUAAGCAUACUCCUUUUCUUUUUUUUCCAAUGCUUUUCUUAUGCCGGUGCACCUCUUAAUCAUCCAUCUCUCGCUAUUAAAUUGUUCCGGAGUGCUCAAGAUAUCUCGAAGAUUCGUGUUUCCACUAUGCAUUCGUUCAAGAUCUUUCGAGGAUGUUCUCUCAUUCAAGUCUUUUAUUGCAACCGGUGCAUUAUCUCUCUUCAAAUUGUUCAACGGUGUUUCUUUUGAGUGGGCCCUAACCCACAUGUCUUUUCCUAGGAUCUUACCUGACUCUUCUAUUUUCCCAGAGCUAUCCUAAAUUCUUCUCCAAGUUUGACGUAAGAAUGAGUUAUCAUCAGUCAAAUGCUUUUUCUCCAAGAUCUUUCAAAUUCUUUUCAUAGUUGGCUCAACCUCUUCGCUUUUGAUUCUUCCGGUGUGCCUCAAUAAUUCUUGGUGGUGUUUCUUGUUGUCAUUCUCAUCAUUUGAAGACCGAAGAAGAGUUUCUCUUUAAUCUUGCUCUAUUCUCUUCAAGAUUCAUGGUGCUAGCUUGUUGCCAUCCUCUCAUAAUUGUUUUCGAUUGUGAGAAUCUUUUUCACCCAUCAGGAGAUAUUCAAGAGUCUUCUCAGUUUGUCAUCCGGAGUCCAUCAAUUCAGGUUUAUUCAUUCUCAGCCGUCAGUUAUCAUUCUCCUAUCUUGCCGGUGCAUCUAUCGAAUAUCCUCUAAUCAGUUCUUGAUCUCUUUGUUCUCAUGUAUCUAGUUUGUCUCAAGCACCUUCGUUCAUUUGCUAAUUCUUACCGGUGAUGCACCCCUACUUCGAUCAUUUUCAAUUCUUACGGUGGUUCUUUCAAGAUCUCUCUUCCUUGUCCAUCAUAUCAAUUCAUUUGUUGUUCCAAUCCUACCGGUGGUUCGUUGAAGACCUUCUCAAGUUUACGCUAUAUCUCUUUCAAUCCUUUCUACGAGAAUAAGAAGUAUGCCAAAUCCGUUGAUUGUCGUCAAUUUAAUUGGGGAAGGAUAAGCAUAACAUAAUUCUUAUUCUUGUUCAUCCAAGUGAUUAAUUCUUUAUUCCGGAGGCCCUUAAAAUUCUCGGUUUCAUUUGUUUCAUCUUCUCUUUUUCCCGGAGUUCCAAGCUCUAAUUAUCACGGAGAUCCAUCUAAAUCAUUGCAAGGAUUCACCUUGUGUUUUCAAUUUCUCUUUCUUUUCAUUCCUUUUGUUUACCGGAGUUCUUCAUGGAGGUUCUACAUGAUGGUUCAUCAAGGAUUUAAUUCCCUUCUCAAAGUUUUCAUCGAGAUUCUUUCCUAAGGAGCUCAAGCUUUCUUCAUAUGGUAAUCCCGAGUGCAAUUCUUUCUACCAUAUUUUGGAGGUGGUAUUAUGUCAUUCUUGAUAAUUUGAGUUCAUGUUCCAUGAUUCACAAGUUUUCAAGAGUGACAUAUUUAAAUCCAUCUUUUUCUCUUUGUUCAAGAGAUCUUUUCAACCGUCAAUCUCUUCAUUGGAGUUAUCUUGGUAUAGAUUUCACCUAAAGCCUUCCCUAAGGAAUGUUGCUAUUUUGGUGCUUAUUAAUGACCCAAGUUAUCUCUUUUCCAUCUUGAUGGAAGAAGUUUUCAUCUCUUCGUUAAUCUCAAGCAAGCAAUUGUUUCCGUUAGUGGCCGGUUGUCACCUCAUAAUUUUGAGAUGUUUUCCAUAAGCCCACUACAAGCUUGUGCUUUUCGUUGUUGAUUUUCCAACAACUCCGUUCAAUUCUUCUUUGCAAGGAUGCUUUCCAAACUCAUUUGUGGCAGAAGUUGGCAUUUUCUUCUCCAUUCUGUUAUUCCAAUGAUAUAUCUUCUAUUAUUUCUUUCGGAGGCAUUGUGACAUUGCUCUUUUCACUCACCAUCUCGAUUCGUGAGGAUCGUGUUCUUUUCUUGCUUAUCCAUUUAACCGGAGUGUCGUGUUUUCAUUCGAGUUCUCUAAUCUUAUCAAGUUUUCCCUCCUUCCUCAACUGGAGAGCUGUCUGAAAUCCUUCUUACCCAUUGUGCCAUUCUUUCAAUAGUUCUGGAGGCAGUGUGUUGUUGAUUUCAUCAAGUAACAUCCCAUCUUCUCAAGUUCAUGUUCUAUUCCUUCCAUGUUCAACCGGAGUACUGCCCGCAUUCUUCCCCUCUCAUCUUGUUUUAACUGGAGUGGUUUCGAAUUCUAUCUUGUCCAUUAAACUCUUGAUUCAUGUCUUUGCAACCUUCAAGUUCUCGUAAUGUUCCUUGUUCCUCUUUCUAACGGAUUGUUUGCAAUCUCGUUCAUCUCCUUUGUAUUCUUUCUUUCAAUUUGUUCAACCUCUCAAGGUUCUUUGGUUUCACUCAUUGGUCAUAGAAGCAACUUAGUUUUACCUCUUCUCUUCCUCUUCCAUUUCUCUCCGGUGCCAUCCUAGAUCUCGGGACGAGAUCCUCUUGUAGUGGUGGAGUGUUGUAACGCCCCGAGACCGACGCUCCAGAAGACUUCCAGCUACUCCGAGAUUCGUCGUGUGAUUUGUUUUGUUCGUUGCAUUCAUCCUUGCAUCAUGUUGCAUUUCAUCAUGCUCAUCAUGUGCAUUGUGUGUUUCAUGCAUGAUCACCCCUUGCAUCACCCCUCCCCUCCUUCUCUUGCUUCUAUUUGGCAAGUACCAUUUUUCACUCCUCCUUUAAUGUUCAUCUCUUCCUCACAAUUCAAGCAUCAUGCCACUCACCUCCCUGCCAAGUUUCACCUAUUUUGGAGCUGGUUUGGUUGGGAUAAAAAAUGCUUCAAGUUGGAACCUAAUUCAAACUUGGAAUAUUUUUUGGCCUUUAAAAUUUCCCAAAUCAGUUUUAUUGAAUACUACGCAAAUUCAGGACCUUGAGAAUUUUGUCACAUCUCUCUAAAUCCUCCCAAAUCCCCCUCUGGUUUUCCUUUUGUUUUCUGUUUGAAGAAAAACGAAAAAGGGAAAAAAAAGGAGGAGCAAGCCCAGCCGGCCUCUAAGGCCCAUCUGCAGCCUAAGCAGGCCCAGCCGCCCCCACCAAUCCCUCCUAACCCUAGCCCAGCCCCCACGCACCCCAUCUCUCCCCUCGUUCCUCCUCCAGCGCCGCAGCCUCCUGCGCCCGAUCCUCUCGCGGCCGCUCCCCUCGAUCCCCUCGCCUCCCUCCUCUCGAUCUCUCCCUCUCGCUCGCUCGUGCCCCUUCCACAGAGAAAGGGAGAGGAGCGAGACCCCUCCUCCCGAGCGCGCCUCCCAUGUCGCGCCCUGUUCCAUCAGCCCCCGCGCCCGGCCUCUGCAACACCACCGGGACGGCCAACUCCGGCGGCCCUCCAUCGCCUGCGGCCGUGCCUCCUCCUCCGCAUCAGCCGGUUUCUCCCCUCGUUCCCACGCUGCGCCAUGGCCGCCUACCUCCGCUGCCGUCGCGCCCUUCGGUCCCUGUGCCUCGCGACCGCGCCAAGUCCGCCCCGUCUCCUCGCGCCGGCCCUGCCGCCAAGCCCUGCCGCCGGAGCUCGCCUUCGUCCUGACUCCGGCAGGAUCAGGGCCCUGCUUGUCGCGCCCCGCCGGAGGGCCACCCUGCGCGCGACCUCGCCGGGCCUUCUCUGCUGCCCUUCGCCGCGCCAAGUUCCCUGCCGCCAGGGACGCGAGCUUCUCUGCCUCCCCCGGCGUUCGUUCACGCUCUAGCGCCGCCGCCAUCGUCGGAGCUGGGCUCCCGCCGCCCAGGUCCGCGUCUCAUCCUCGUCCUCGCCCGAUCCCCGUCGCCGAUGCACCUGGACAUCGCACCAUUGCUCGUGGCAUGCCAAGACCGCCCCGUGGAGUUCGCGAGUUACCACUACGAAGGCCUCUGGGUUCGCCAAGUACCCAACCGACAAGACCCCACGGACGUCUACUUCCAGAUGGAUUUCGUCAAGUUCGACGACCGCGUCAAGUACCUCUACCGCCGUCUACGGAAACACCAAGUACCACGACACCCAUGUUCGUCUACGGAAUGUGUACCACUACGCCGAAGAGCUUGGAUGCACCAAGUUCCACUACGAUUGCCGUGUACAUCUGCCGUCGUCCGAAGACCCGUGUACCACGAGCGCCAAGUUCAUCUACGGAACGUGUACGUCUCCAAUGGUGUACCACUACCGAUGCCGUGUACAACUACUACCACCGACAUGUACAACUACUUCCGAUGACGACCGCUCCGUGAACGUCUACUUCCUCUACAUCGUACCGAACUCGAUCCGCCCCGAAAACGCACGCUUCGAAGGUAUAACGCCGAGACGACGCCCGUGAUCUAAUGCAUGUGUUGAAUGAGAUGCAUCGUUUGCUCCGUGAUCGAAUCGUCCUUGCGAUGCCCCUCUUUUGCCGUGCCACUAUCCCGUGGGAACCCGGUAGACGGGAUCACCCCACCAUCUUCUGCAUGUUUCGCACAUCCGCACACUUGCUCUUUUGCACCGGUAUCUCCAUGAGUUACCGGGACCGGAAUGUUGCCGUGGCACCAUUUUUGUUUCGCCGCCGUGGCACCCUUUUUGUUCCGCCAUGGUGACCAAAUGCUUCAUAACAUGCUCAUGUCAACAUUUUCAUAAAAUUGCAUAAAACUUGUAUAUGUCAUCCGCAUCAUGAUAACAACAUUUAAAAUGUUUAAACUUGUUGUUGCAUUAAUUUGCUAAAUGCAUAUGGGGAUUUACCGGAUUUGUUGUUUUUAUAUCCGGCCCCAUUUAAAUUGUUUAGAUGGUAUAGUUUAUAUUAUGCUUCACCUCUUGCCAUGUUUAACAACAGUUAAUAUUGUUGGGUAGCUUAAACGAGAGAUAACUAAAUAAUUGAUGUGGUGUUCCGUCAACAUGCACCUCGUUGCAUAUUGAGCUCCACUUAACUUGUAGUAUUGUUUGUUGCACUUUGCCAUGCCAUGCCUCAUUAAACCGGACAUGCAUCAUACUUGUUUGUGCAUCAUGACUUGUUUAUGCUUGUGUGUUUACUAUGUUGUUUGUUUCUUUCCGGGUUGCUUCUCUCGUUAGCUUCGGUUUCGUUCCGGAGUUGUGAGGAUUUGUUCGUCUACGACCGUUUGUCUUCUUCUUGGAUUCGUUCUUCUUCCUUGCGGGAUCUCAGGCAAGAUGAUCAUACCCUCGAAAUCACUACUAUCUUUGCUAUGCUAGUUUGCUCGCUCUUUUGCUAUGCCAAUGCUACGAUGCCUACCAUUUGCUUGUCAGCCUCCCAAAUUGCCAUGUCAAACCGCUAACCCACCAUGUCCUAGCAAACCGUUGAUUGGCUAUGUUACCGCUUUGCUCAGCCCCUCUUAUAGCGUUGUUAGUUGCAGGUGAAGAUUGAAGUUUGUUCCUUGCUAGAACAUGGAGAUGUUGUUCCUUGUUGGAACAUGUUUACUUGUUGGGAUAUCACAAUAUAUCUUAUUUAAUUAAUGCAUCUAUAUACUUGGUAAAGGGUGGAAGGCUCGGCCUUAUGCCUGGUGUUUUGUUCCACUCUUGCCGCCCUAGUUUCCGUCAUAUCGGUGUUAUGUUCCCGGAUUUUGCGUUCCUUACACGGUUGGGCUAUAAUGGGAACCCCUUGACAGUUCGCCUUAAGUAAAGCUCCUCCAGCAAUGCCCAACAUUGGUUUUACCAUUUGCACUAACAACCUACCACCUUCCCUUGGGUUCUGCAGACUCAAGGGUCAUCUUUAUUCUAACCCCCCCGGGCCAGUGCUCCUCUGAGUGUUGGUCCGAACUAGAGCCCUGUGCAGCGCCCCCUCGGGGAAACUCGAGGUUUGGUUUUAGUUGUACGGAUUGCUCAUCUGAGUGUGCCCUGAGAAAGAGAUAUGUGCAGCUCCUAUCGGGAUUUGUCGGCACAUUCGGGCGGUGUUGCUGGUUUAGUUUUACCCUGUCGAAAUGUCUUGUUGUACCGGGAUACCGAGUCUGAUCGGAACGUCUCGGGUGGAGGUCUAUUCCUUCGUUGACCGUGAGAGCUUGUUAUGGGCUAAGUUGGGACACCCCUGCAGGGUAUUAUCUUUCGAAAGCCGUGCCCGCGGUUAUGGGCAGAUGGGAAUUUGUUAACGUCCGGUUGUAGAAAACCCGAAGUUGACCUUAAUUAAAACACAUCAACCGUGUGUGUAACCGUGAUGGUCUCUUUCCGGCGGAGUCCGGGAAGUGAACACGGUGUUGGAGUUAUGCUUGACGUAGGUUGCUAUAGGAUCACUUCUUGAUCAUACUUUUAUCGACCGUGCUUUGCCUUCUCUUCUCGCUCUCAUUUGCGUAUGUUAGCCACCAUAUAUGCUAGUCGCUUGCUGCAGCUCCACCUCAUUACUCCAUCCUUCCUAUAAGCUUAAAUAGUCUUGAUCUCGCGGGUGCGAGAUUGCUGAGUCCCCGUGGCUCACAGAUACUUCCAAAACCAGUUUGCAGGUGCCGAUGAGUUUGUGCAGUUGACGCAACCAAGCUCAAGGAGGAGCUCGAUGAAGAUCUUGCCCUUUGUGUUGUUUCGUUCUAGUUGAUCAGUAGUGGAGCCCAGUUGGGGUCGAUCAGGGACCUUUGUCGCAUUUGGGGUUCUUCUUUUAUUUUGGUUCCGUAGUCGGACCUUGAUUGUAUCUGGAUGAUGUAAUGCUUUAUUCAUGUAAUUGUGUGAAGUGGCGAUUGUAAGCCAACUAUGUAUCUCUUUCCCUUAUGUAUUACAUGGGUUGUGUGAAG
rnacentral:lncRNA from 1 species